rnacentral:rRNA from 1 species
AAAACAUGUYUUAAAGAAUAUAAUUUUAAGUCUGAUCUGCUCCAUGAUUAAUUUUAAAUAGCUGCAGAAUUUUAACUGUACAAAGGUAGCAUAGUCAAUAGUUUUUUAAUUGAAAGCUGGAAUGAAUGAUUUGAUAAGGUAAAUAUUGUCUCAAAUUUAAUGAAAUUAGAAUUUUUUUUUUAGUAAAAAUACUGAAAUAAAUUUAAAAGACGAGAAGACCCUAUAGAUUUUAAUAUUUUAAAUUAAGAUAAUUUAUUUAAUACAAAAUUUUAAUUAAAGAAUAUUUGGUUGGGGAAAUUAUUAAAUUAAAUUAAUUUUAAUUAUUAAUAAACAAUAAUUAUUGAAUUUUUGAUCUUAAUAUUUAAAUUAAAAGAGUAAAAUACCUUAGGGAUAACAGCGUAAUUUUUUUUGAGAGAUCUAAUUGAUAAAAAAGAUUGCGACCUCGAUGUUGAAUUAAGAUAAAAUUUUAAUGGAGAAGUUAAAAAAUUUUGGUCUGUUCGACCAAUAAAAUCUUACGUGAUCUGA